CGGGGUGUAGCGCAGUCUGGUAGCGCGUCUGCUUUGGGAGCAGGAUGUCGGGAGUUCGAAUCUCUCCACCCCGACCA
rnacentral:tRNA from 1 species